rnacentral:rRNA from 1 species
GAUGAACGCUGGCGGCGUGCUUAACACAUGCAAGUCGAACGGUGAGGGCGGAGCUUGCUCUGCUGGAUCAGUGGCGAACGGGUGAGUAACACGUGAGCAAUCUGCCCCUGACUCUGGGAUAAGCGCUGGAAACGGCGUCUAAUACUGGAUACGAGCUGCGACGGCAUCUUCAGCAGCUGAAAAGAACUGCGGUCGGGGAUGAGCUCGCGGCCUAUCAGCUUGUUGGUGGGGUAACGGCUCACCAAGGCGUCGACGGGUAGCCGGCCUGAGAGGGUGACCGGCCACACUGGGACUGAGACACGGCCCAGACUCCUACGGGAGGCAGCAGUGGGGAAUAUUGCACAAUGGGCGAAAGCCUGAUGCAGCAACGCCGCGUGAGGGAUGACGGCCUUCGGGUUGUAAACCUCUUUUGGCAGGGAAGAAGCGAGAGUGACGGUACUUGGAGAAAAAGCGCCGGCUAACUACGUG